UACGUAGGGGGCUAGCGUUGUCCGGAAUCAUUGGGCGUAAAGCGCGUGUAGGCGGUCCGUUAAGUCGGAUGUGAAAUCUCUGGGCUUAACCCAGAAAUCGCAUCCGAUACUGGCGGACUUGAGGAUGGUAGAGGUUGGUGGAAUUCCCGGUGUACCGGUGAAAUGGACAGAUAUCGGGAGGAACACCAGUGGCGAAGGCGGCCAACUGGGCCAUUCCUGACGCUGAGACGCGAAAGCCAGGGGAGCGAACCGG
rnacentral:rRNA from 1 species